rnacentral:rRNA from 1 species
UACGUAGGUGGCGAGCGUUGUCCGGAUUUACUGGGCGUAAAGGGAGCGUAGGCGGGCUUUUAAGUGAGAUGUGAAAUACUCGGGCUCAACUUGAGUGCUGCAUUUCAAACUGGUAGACUUGAGUGCAGGAGAGGAGAGUGGAAUUCCAUGUGUAGCGGUGAAAUGCGUAGAUAUAUGGAGGAACACCGGUGGCGAAAGCGGCUCUCUGGCCUGUAACUGACACUGAGGCUCGAAAGCGUGGGGAGCAAACAGG